AUUGAACGCUGGCGGCAUGCUUUACACAUGCAAGUCGAACGGUAACAGGUUAAGCUGACGAGUGGCGAACGGGUGAGUAAUGCAUCGGAACGUGCCCGAUCGUGGGGGAUAACGCAGCGAAAGCUGUGCUAAUACCGCAUACGAUCUGAGGAUGAAAGCGGGGGACCGUAAGGCCUCGCGCGAUCGGAGCGGCCGAUGUCAGAUUAGGUAGUUGGUGGGGUAAAGGCUCACCAAGCCGACGAUCUGUAGCUGGUCUGAGAGGACGACCAGCCACACUGGGACUGAGACACGGCCCAGACUCCUACGGGAGGCAGCAGUGGGGAAUUUUGGACAAUGGGCGCAAGCCUGAUCCAGCAAUGCCGCGUGCAGGAAGAAGGCCUUCGGGUUGUAAACUGCUUUUGUACGGAGCGAAAAGGCUCUCUCUAAUACAGGGGGUUCAUGACGGUACCGUAAGAAUAAGCACCGGCUAACUACGUGCCAGCCGCCGCAGUAA
rnacentral:rRNA from 1 species